GACGAACGCUGGCGGCGUGCCUAAUACAUGCAAGUAGAACGCUGAAGGAGGAGCUUGCUUCUCUGGAUGAGUUGCGAACGGGUGAGUAACGCGUAGGUAACCUGCCUUGUAGCGGGGGAUAACUAUUGGAAACGAUAGCUAAUACCGCAUAAGAGUAGAUGUUGCAUGACAUUUACUUAAAAGGUGCAAUUGCAUCACUACCAGAUGGACCUGCGUUGUAUUAGCUAGUUGGUGAGGUAACGGCUCACCAAGGCAACGAUACAUAGCCGACCUGAGAGGGUGAUCGGCCACACUGGGACUGAGACACGGCCCAGACGCCUACGGGAGGCAGCAGUAGGGAAUCUUCGGCAAUGGACGGAAGUCUGACCGAGCAACGCCGCGUGAGGGAAGAAGGUUUUCGGAUCGUAAAGCUCUGUUGUAAGAGAAGAACGAGUGUGAGAGUGGAAAGUUCACACUGUGACGGUAUCUUACCAGAAAGGGACGGCUAACUACGUG
rnacentral:rRNA from 1 species